rnacentral:rRNA from 1 species
UACGGAGGGGGCUAGCGUUGUUCGGAAUUACUGGGCGUAAAGCGCACGUAGGCGGCUUUGUAAGUUAGGGGUGAAAGCCCGGGGCUCAACCCCGGAACUGCCUUUAAGACUGCAUCGCUUGAAUCCAGGAGAGGUGAGUGGAAUUCCGAGUGUAGAGGUGAAAUUCGUAGAUAUUCGGAAGAACACCAGUGGCGAAGGCGGCUCACUGGCCUGGUAUUGACGCUGAGGUGCGAAAGCGUGGGGAGCAAACAGG